AGCCUUGUACAGUGGAAGUAUCAUAGCCAAUGAGGUUUAUUGAGGUGCAAUUAUUUCUAAAUAAAA
rnacentral:snRNA from 1 species